rnacentral:misc_RNA from 1 species
GAUGAGGAACGCAGCGAAAUGCGAUAAGUAAUGUGAAUUGCAGAAUUCAGUGAAUCAUCGAAUCUUUGAACGCACAUUGCGCCCGCCAGUAUUCUGGCGGGCAUGCCUGUUCGAGCGUCAUUACAACCCUCAGGCCCCCGGGCCUGGCGUUGGGGAUCGGCGGAAGCCCCCUGCGGGCACAACGCCGUCCCCCAAAUACAGUGGCGGUCCCGCCGCAGCUUCCAUUGCGUAGUAGCUAACACCUCGCAACUGGAGAGCGGCGCGGCCACGCCGUAAAACACCCAACUUCUGAAUGUUGACCUCGAAUCAGGUAGGAAUACCCGCUGAACUUAAGCAUAUCAAUAAGCGGAGGA